GACGAACGCUGGCGGCGUGCUUAACACAUGCAAGUCGAACGGAAAGGCCCUGCUUGCAGGGUGCUCGAGUGGCGAACGGGUGAGUAACACGUGGGUGAUCUGCCCCUUACUUUGGGAUAAGCCUGGGAAACUGGGUCUAAUACUGGAUAGGACCAUGCUGUAGGUGGUGUGGUGGAAAGAUUAGUUUCGGUAAGGGAUGAGCUCGCGGCCUAUCAGCUUGUUGGUGGGGUAAUGGCCUACCAAGGCGUCGACGGGUAGCCGGCCUGAGAGGGUGGACGGCCACGUUGGGACUGAGAUACGGCCCAGACUCCUGCGGGAGGCAGCAGUGGGGAAUAUUGCACAAUGAGCGCAAGCCUGAUGCAGCGACGCCGCGUGGGGGAUGACGGCCUUCGGGUUGUAAACUCCUUUCAGCCAUGACGAAGCCCUUGUGGUGACGGUAGUGGUAGAAGAAGCACCGGCUAACUACGUG
rnacentral:rRNA from 1 species